GUGCCAGCAGCCGCGGUAAUACGAAGGGGGCUAGCGUUGCUCGGAAUUACUGGGCGUAAAGGGAGCGUAGGCGGACAUUUAAGUCAGGGGUGAAAUCCCGGGGCUCAACCUCGGAAUUGCCUUUGAUACUGGGUGUCUUGAGUAUGAGAGAGGUGUGUGGAACUCCGAGUGUAGAGGUGAAAUUCGUAGAUAUUCGGAAGACACCAGUGGCGAAGGACACACUGGCUCAUUACUGACGCUGAGGCUCGAAAGCGUGGGGAGC
rnacentral:rRNA from 1 species